rnacentral:rRNA from 1 species
CACGUAGGGCGCAAGCGUUGUCCGGAAUUAUUGGGCGUAAAGAGCUCGUAGGCGGUCUGUUGCGUCCGCUGUGAAAACUCGGGGCUUAACCCCGAGCCUGCAGUGGAUACGGGCAGACUAGAGGUAGGUAGGGGAGAAUGGAAUUCCCGGUGUAGCGGUGAAAUGCGCAGAUAUCGGGCGGAACACCGGUGGCGAAGGCGGUUCUCUGGGCCUUACCUGACGCUGAGGAGCGAAAGCGUGGGGAGCGAACAGG